rnacentral:rRNA from 1 species
UAAUGGCCACCAAGGGUACGAUGGGUAGCUGGUCUGAGAGGACGAUCAGCCACACUGGGACUGAGACACGGCCCAGACUCCUACGGGAGGCAGCAGUGGGGAAUAUUGACGCAAUGGGCGAAAGCCUGACGCAGCCAAUCCGCGUGGGUGAUGAAGGCCUUCGGGUUGUAAAGCCCUGUCGUGAGGGACGAAGUUCUGACGGUACCUCACAAGAAAGCACCGGCUAACCCCGUGCCAGCAGCCGCGGUAAUACGGGGGGUGCAAGCGUUGCUCGGAAUCACUGGGCGUAAAGCGUCCGCAGGUGGAGAGGAAAGUCGGUCGUGAAAGCCCGAGGCUCAACCUCGGAACUGCGAUCGAAACUUCCUCCCUCGAGUUCGGGAGAGGGGAGUGGAAUUCCUGGUGUAGAGGUGAAAUUCGUAGAUAUCAGGAGGAACACCGGUGGCGAAAGCGGCUCCCUGGCCCGAAACUGACACUCAUGGACGAAAGCGUGGGUAGCAAACAGGAUUAGAUACCCU